rnacentral:hammerhead_ribozyme from 1 species
GUACUGCCGAAGAGUUCAAGUGUAGGACGAAACAGAUGUCCAGUAC